ACCUUGCUCCACAUCCACCCUUAAACUGCAACCCAGCAAGCUGCUAAAUAUCUGGGAGACGGAGCGCUUCUACAUCUCUGCAGUGCAGCCAUGGCCACCACAGAAUCAAUGUUCCCAGACCGAAGUGACUUUGACUAUGUUCCAGCUCCUCUGGUACCCAAAUACCAAAGACAGAGGUGCCUCCUCAAACUGUAUAGAAAAUAUAACACUUGAAAGGGGAAGAAGUCGUCACGGGAACCCCGCCAGCGAAAACACACAAACACUGGUUGUUUAUGGCCAUCCCUGUUAUGGCUAAUAUACCUCUGCCAGCUGGAUGAUCAAUAUACAGGGUUUUCCAACGCAUCCUGACCUGGUUUCAUUAAGCCUCUCACUGAAUUCUGUAGAGAGUCUUACAAUAAUAGCAAUGUACUGUGUAUGUAUCUAAAGAUGGCUCCAAAUUGAGUGGGAAUAAAAGAAGGGGG